rnacentral:rRNA from 1 species
UACGUAGGUGGCAAGCGUUGUCCGGAUUUACUGGGCGUAAAGAGCGCGCAGGCGGUCGUUCAAGUCGCGUGUGAAAGCCCCCGGCUCAACUGGGGAGGGUCACGCGAUACUGAUCGACUGGAAGGCAGGAGAGGGUAGUGGAAUUCCCGGUGUAGCGGUGAAAUGCGCAGAUAUCGGGAAGAACACCCGUGGCGAAGGCGGUUCUCUGGGACGGUACUGACGCUGAGACGCGAAAGCGUGGGGAGCGAACAGG